rnacentral:rRNA from 1 species
UACGAAGGGGGCUAGCGUUGUUCGGAAUCACUGGGCUUAAAGGGCGCGUAGGCGGGCUGCCAAGUUCGGGGUGAAAUCCUCCCGCUCAACGGGAGAACUGCCCCGAAUACUGGCGGUCUCGAGGGAGGUAGGGGCGUGCGGAACUAUGGGUGGAGCGGUGAAAUGCGUUGAUAUCCAUAGGAACGCCGGUGGCGAAGGCGGCACGCUGGACCUCUUCUGACGCUGAGGCGCGAAAGCCAGGGGAGCGAACGGG